CGUAUAAACCUGGAAACAAAAUGAUUUCUUCAAUUUAUUCAACAAUUUCACCAAGAGAUCUAACUCUUCUCAUACUGUUGAGUUUGUUAAACUUCGGACUGGUCAGUCAGCUUCACUCAAGCCAUUUCAGUUUCAGUGUUACGACAAUGACAUAUGUACUUGGCCGCAACAGUACUGCUCAUCUAAAGCACACGAACACAGGUGUAUCCCUUGCUUACGGAGUGUUUGCAGUCUUCAGUCGCCGCCUCUUCAAUGUCUCUAUAAUUGUUCCUUAAUCGGACAGAUAGAAAACACCACAUGUGCAGAGAUUGCCUACGAGAAAUCGGAUUCGUGUGCCAAAAGUAGGUUGACAGACGUACCACCGACUAGAGAUUCCUCUUCACCAGGCUCAUAUAAACCGACUACUCAUUUAGAUAAACCACUUAAACCCGAACACACACAUACUUCUUCUCACCUCUAAAAAUACUUAGUUUUAUGCCUAGAGACGUUUUCACGAGUUAUGCAGUACUCUUGCUAGAGAAUCCUUCGUGAGAGACCGGCCGGGGAGGUACAAAUCAAGGGACACAUGUGUAUAAACGAUACUGUAAUACGGAUAAUGUAUUUCAUCAGUGAUCGUACGACCAACGAAAUAUAGUAUUAUAUGGCACGUAAUUGCAAUAAAUAGACACGAUCAAUAAGAGUAUAUUUAUAGACUAUUUUCGAAAAUGGAAUCCCAUUUUUACCCGAUAUAAAAACCCAUAUUUACCUGAUAUAAAAACCUAUCGCGGGUACGUUACAUUUACUACCUUUACAUUAAAUUAAGCAUGACAAUGGUUAAUAUUGAUAUGCUACCUUUGAUUCAAUUCAAAGUAAAACGUUAUGCCGUUCAGUGUGUUGCCUUGCUUAUUUAUUUUGUUGAUCUGUGUCUUUCGGAUUGCUAUGUAGAUAAGUUUCAGUUUCCUUGCUUUGAUUCAGUUUGUACAUUUCCGUUAGAGUAUUGCUCAUCGCGGAAAUAUGAACGGAGAUGUAUCCCUUGUCAUAAAAGUCUUUGCAAAGAGGAUACGGUCCCUCGAAGUUGUAUCUACAACUGUUCCUCGACAGAUAGGAAGUCAUUUCUCAGUCAAGUUUCCAAUCCAGCAUGGUUCUUCGUGUCUAUUGGAUUAACGGUACUGUGUGUCUCUUUGAUCCUUGUACUUGUUGUUGUUUUCUGGAAAUAUAGAGAUUUAAAAAAGAAAAAAAUACCUGAUGAAACAUCUACUCCACUGAUAGGUAAGUACAAGUCUGAACAACGGUAACAACACAACCAGAGAUAUGCAGAACAGUUACUGCGAAGAAAAACUUAAAAAUAUAACGCCAGUAUCAGAUGCUUGGGAGAAUAAGACGGUCCCGUAUAAACCAACAACAUGCAUGGAAAAGACGGAGAACACUUCAAAGCUUUAAAGAAGAGACAUGUGCACAAUUACACAUACGGUCAAUGGUUAUUAUAACAAUGGCUCGAUCUGGGAUAUAUUAAGGAACAAAAGCAACAUUGUGCAUAAUACGGAAAAAGAAAGGCCAUACACCUUUUUCAGCAUUAAUCUCGUAAUAUUGAUGUCCUUGUCAGUUUUUAGCUGACUUGAGCUAAAGUGCACCGCCCAGCGUCUGUCCGUCCGUCCACACCUUUCUUCAAACAACCGUAUGGUGGACAUUGAUGAAACUUGGUCUGGAUGUUUCUUGGAUGGUCUUACUCAAAAUUAUUCAAACCGUUCCACUUGGUUGCACAUAAGGGCUGCCAGAGCUAAAAAUAAAACAUCUUCAAACGACACCUCCUAAACCGCUGGUCCGACUUUGAAAUAAUUCCAUACAAAUGGUCCUAAUGUACAUGAUGUAACCCUCUGCCAAAUUGUUCAAAAUAUUCCAAUUCAACAAAAAACACUGCCGUUAGAGGGCGUGGUCACUUUUCCCUACAUGUAUACAGUGGAACCUUUAAAUAUUCUUGAAUGAAACUGCUUACCCUAUUGUAAAAGAAUUUCACACAAAUGGUCCUUGUGCGACCCUCAACCAAGAUUGUUAAAAUCAUUUUGAUUCCUGAAAGAAAAAACACAUGACUGCCAGAGAGCGUAGUCAUUUUACCUAUAUCUUUAUAGGGGAAACUUUAAAAACAUCAUUUUCAGAAACUGCAUACUUUUACGCAAAUGUAUCUUAGGAGGCCCUUUACAAAGAUUAUAUAAAUUAUUCUGUUUCGUCAAAAAUCAUGGCCGCCAGCGAGUUUGGCCACUUUCUCGUGUACAAUCAAGGCUGUCCUUUACUAACUAAAUCAGUGUGUAUGUAUGAAAAUUAUUUGAUAGAAAUUUAAAAAGCUGAAUGCUUUUGAAAAGAGAAUACAUUAUUACUCUAAUUUA
rnacentral:misc_RNA from 1 species